GUUAUCGAUAAGAAGAGAGCGUCUAGGCGAACAAUGUUCUUAAAGUUUGACCUCAAAUCAGGUAGGAGUACCCGCUGAACUUAAGCAUAUCAAUAAGCGGAGGAAAAGAAACCAACCGGGAUUGCCUUAGUAACGGCGAGUGAAGCGGCAAAAGCUCAAAUUUGAAAUCUGGUACCUUCGGUGCCCGAGUUGUAAUUUGGAGAGGGCAACUUUGGGGCCGUUCCUUGUCUAUGUUCCUUGGAACAGGACGUCAUAGAGGGUGAGAAUCCCGUGUGGCGAGGAGUGCGGUUCUUUGUAAAGUGCCUUCGAAGAGUCGAGUUGUUUGGGAAUGCAGCUCUAAGUGGGUGGUAAAUUCCAUCUAAAGCUAAAUAUUGGCGAGAGACCGAUAGCGAACAAGUACAGUGAUGGAAAGAUGAAAAGAACUUUGAAAAGAGAGUGAAAAAGUACGUGAAAUUGUUGAAAGGGAAGGGCAUUUGAUCAGACAUGGUGUUUUGUGCCCUCUGCUCCUUGUGGGUAGGGGAAUCUCGCAUUUCACUGGGCCAGCAUCAGUUUUGGUGGCAGGAUAAAUCCAUAGGAAUGUAGCUUGCCUCGGUAAGUAUUAUAGCCUGUGGGAAUACUGCCAGCUGGGACUGAGGACUGCGACGUAAGUCAAGGAUGCUGGCAUAAUGGUUAUAUGCCGCC
rnacentral:rRNA from 1 species